ACGGGAGGCAGCAGUGGGGGAUAUUGCACAAUGGGGGAAACCCUGAUGCAGCGACGCCGCGUGAGUGAUGAAGUAUUUCGGUAUGUAAAGCUCUAUCAGCAGGGAAGAAAAUGACGGUACCUGACUAAGAAGCUCCGGCUAAAUACGUGCCAGCAGCCGCGGUAAUACGUAUGGAGCAAGCGUUAUCCGGAUUUACUGGGUGUAAAGGGAGCGUAGACGGCAUGGCAAGUCUGAUGUGAAAGGUGGGGGCUCAACCCCCAAACUGCAUUGGAAACUGUCAAGCUCGAGUGCCGGAGAGGUAAGCGGAAUUCCUAGUGUAGCGGUGAAAUGCGUAGAUAUUAGGAGGAACACCAGUGGCGAAGGCGGCUUACUGGACGGUAACUGACGUUGAGGCUCGAAAGCGUGGGGAGCAAACAGGAUUAGAUACCCUGGUA
rnacentral:rRNA from 1 species